AUCUCGAUCCUUUGUAUAACUAUACAAUACAAAUUUAGAUACAAAUAUUACACAUCUUCACCGACCGUUUCUAGAGCAAGUGGCAAAGGGUUUGGUGGUUGGUACCCGAGAUCCAAGUUUGAAUCCUAGUUGAUUCACAUUUCUAGCUAAAUUUAUUUCUAAAUGAAAUAAACGAAGCGGGUAGCAUGCUACCUAUCUCUCAAAAAAAAAAAGUACACAUCUUCUAUAUAUAUAUAAUAUAAAACCAACAACCAAAAAAAAAGUAUAUAAAGAAAAA
rnacentral:lncRNA from 1 species